CUCACCUUCGACGUCUGCCGUUGGCCAGUGCGAAUCGGACCGAAACAACAAGAACAACAAAAAGAGGGCUCUUUUCGGCACAAGAGUCCACGAAAGCUAAGAAGCAGAGGAUCAUCACACACGCACACGCGCGACGCGAGAGGCACCGCCAGGCGCUUCGCCGCCCAACACCCUCCUCCUCCUCUCCUCCCGCGCACUCUCUUAGGGCAUUUUUUUGCCGCUUGUAUUGUAUCCCCUAGUCGCACAGUCGAGGUGCGUAGGGCGCCCAUGCAACUGCAGCAGCAGUGAGGCGAAGCCCACGAACUCGCCUGCCCCAGUGCCGCGGUUGCGAGCCUGUAUGUUUGUGUGUGUGUAUGUGUGUCUCUCUGCUGAGUAGGAACCGAAAGCUUAUCUUCCUAGAGGCAAGAAACAAGCAAACAGAUAGACAAGCAGCGCUGAACGGAGGGACAAGCUGCCCACCGACGUGCACACACACUGUCCUACACGCACUCACACGCGCGCAGAUCAAGGUCCGCAGCACACAGCGAGGAGGAACUCAACGGCUCAUCCCUCCUUUUUUUUUCCACUCUCUAUCUCUCCUCCUCUCUUGAGAAG
rnacentral:misc_RNA from 1 species